UACGAAGGGGGCUAGCGUUGUUCGGAUUUACUGGGCGUAAAGCGCACGUAGGCGGACUUUUAAGUCAGGGGUGAAAUCCCGGGGCUCAACCCCGGAACUGCCUUCGAUACUGGCGAUCUUGAGUCCGGGAGAGGUGAGUGGAACUCCGAGUGUAGAGGUGAAAUUCGUAGAUAUUCGGAAGAACACCAGUGGCGAAGGCGGCUCACUGGCCCGGUACUGACGCUGAUAUGCGAAAGCGUGGGGAGCAAACAGG
rnacentral:rRNA from 1 species